rnacentral:rRNA from 1 species
GAUGAACGCUAGCGGCAGGCCUAAUACAUGCAAGUCGAACGGUGUCUUCGGACAUAGUGGCGCACGGGUGCGUAACACGUAUGCAACCUACCUUACAUUGGGGGAUAGCCUUUCGAAAGGGAGAUUAAUACCGCAUAAGACAGUGGCUGGGCAUCCAACAGCGGUUAAAGAUUUAUCGAUGUAAGCUGGGCAUGCGUCCAAUUAGCUAGUUGGUGAGGUAACGGCUCACCAAGGCAAUGAGUGGUAGGAGAACUGAGAGGUCAAUCCCCCACACUGGCACUGAGAUACGGGCCAGACUCCUACGGGAGGCAGCAGUAGGGAAUAUUGAGCAAUGGACGCAAGUCUGACCCAGCCAUGCCGCGUGCAGGAUGAAGGCGUUAUGCGUUGUAAACUGCUUUUAUACAGGAAGAAACGACUCUUGCGAGAGGCAUUGACGGUACUGUAUGAAUAAGCACCGGCUAACUCCGUGCCAGCAGCCGCCGUAACAC